rnacentral:lncRNA from 1 species
GAGCGGGCAUAGUUUUUAGUGAGAUCUUCUAAAUGACACUUCUACAUGUUCUCACACAAAAACACAGAUAGAGAAACAUGAAGAACUACUAAGAUAAAAAACAUGGAGAAGAACUUGUUGACACUCUACUUGUUGACAUACGUUUGAGCCGCAUCAAAUUCCACCGAGUAGAGCCUCUCAAGCCCACGGUUCCUCCCAAAGUUGACGCGCUGUGCAGACACCUCGAUGCUGCUCCGUCCAAAGUACAUUGUCACGGCCACCUGGCGACUCGUCCCCAGCUCUAGAUCCUCGUUUAUGUCUAUGCUGUAGCUGUCGAGCACGGCACAGCCUUCGUCGACAGUGUACUCUGGAAUCUUGCUGCUGCUCGAGAUGAGUAAGUAUCCUCAAGGCUUUCUGGUCAGUGUACAUGGGAAAGAACGAGUGCGUGAUCUCCUGGUUCUCCGAG